UCCAGACUCCUACGGGAGGCAGCAGUGGGGGAUAUUGCACAAUGGGGGAAACCCUGAUGCAGCGACGCCGCGUGAGUGGAGAAGUAUUUCGGUAUGUAAAGCUCUAUCAGCAGGGAAGAAAAAAGACGGUACCUGACUAAGAAGCCCCGGCUAACUACGUGCCAGCAGCCGCGGUAAUACGUAGGGGGCAAGCGUUAUCCGGAUUUACUGGGUGUAAAGGGAGCGUAGACGGCAAUACAAGUCGGAAGUGAAAUACCCGGGCUCAACCUGGGAACUGCUUUGGAAACUGUAUGGCUGGAGUGCUGGAGAGGUAAGCGGAAUUCCUAGUGUAGCGGUGAAAUGCGUAGAUAUUAGGAGGAACACCAGUGGCGAAGGCGGCUUACUGGACAGUAACUGACGUUGAGGCUCGAAAGCGUGGGGAGCAAACAGGAUUAGAUACCCCCGUAA
rnacentral:rRNA from 1 species